GCCCUUACACGCUGGGCUACACACGUGCUACAAUGGCGGUGACAGUGGGCAGCUACUUCGCGAGAAGAUGCUAAUCUCUAAAAACCGUCUCAGUUCGGAUUGUUCUCUGCAACUCGAGAGCAUGAAGGCGGAAUCGCUAGUAAUCGCGGAUCAGCAUGCCGCGGUGAAUACGUUCCCAGGCCUUGUACACACCGCCCGUCACGUCAUGAAAGUUGGUAACACCCGAAGCCGCUUGCUCCACUUUUUGUGGGGUGGUGUCGAAGGUGGGAUCGGCGAUUGGGACGAAGUCGGAACAAGGUAGCCGUACCGGAAGGUGCGG
rnacentral:rRNA from 1 species